rnacentral:rRNA from 1 species
ACGGAGGGGGCUAGUGUUGUUCGGAAUUACUGGGCGUAAAGGGCGCGCAGGCGGCUUGGCAAGUCGAGUGUGAAAUCCCUUAGCUUAACUAAGGAACAGCGCUCGAAACUACCUCGCUGGAGGGCGGGAGAGGGAAGUGGAACUCUCGGUGUAGGGGUGAAAUCUGUAGAUAUCGAGAGGAACACCGGUGGCGAAGGCGGCUUCCUGGCCCGUACCUGACGCUGAGGCGCGAAAGCGUGGGGAGCAAACAGGA